rnacentral:lncRNA from 1 species
AAGAAAAAAGAAAGAAUAGAAAUUAGAGUUCUUCAUUUGUGCCCAUAACAGAAUUACUUAGCACAACAUAACCGAAUUAAAUAAAAAGCCAACUCCUCUACAUCCCAGCAACUAUUAAAACAAAUAAAAUAAAUAAAGACUAUUAUAUAUUACACGAAAACAAUAUUUGAUGUCAACAAGCAAAUCUAAACAUAUGAUGGAACUGUACUUAGCUAUAGAAUCUAAUAUUCUAGAGAGAAAAAAUAAGUUGUCCAAAAUAAAGUUAAUUUAGAAGCCAAUUCACAACUAAUAACAUAUAGAAGCUUUGACCAGCAGUCCAAUAGAAACAACCUACCAGUAGAAAGAACUUUCUUAUGUGACAAAAUCUGCUUCUUCUGGAUUUCUAUUAUUUAGGUCAUAAACUAAAUUCAGAUCCAACAGACAUCUAUCUACUCUACGAAUUUCCAGGGUACCUCUCAACUAGGUUCUGUUUUUCCAUAAACUAAUUUAUGUCUUAUGACUUAACAAUUACUAACUGCUUAUCGCCUAAGAAACGUCUGUUUAACUUGGAUCCCACAUCCGGUUUAACAUAAAUAUAUGGAAUCUACGCUUAGACUUGAACUUAGUCAGGUACAUUUGCUCAUUCAACUUGGGCCAUUGAUACAGACAAUAUUAUUUUAAGAAUGAGUCGGUGGAAUAGCUAACAAUUGCCAGAGCAUCUAGUGAGAUAUCACCAAAUAAACAGGACCUUGUAGGUGAAUUUCAGCAAGAGAUAAGUAAUGACUGAAUGCCAUAUAUUAAUAAUAUAUCUAGUCUUUAAGAGUAGACAUUAGGCAAGAAACAAAUAAGAUGGGUUUCUGUUAUUAAUUUUAUAAAAACAAAUUCAUGUAGAACUUUCCAGCUAAGAUUUCUGUUAUUAAUUUUAUAAAAACAAAUUCAUGUAGAACUUUCCAGCUAAGAUGACCACAGAACAUUAAGAUUGGUGUGAACAACCAUACCUCAGAAAGAAGCUCUGUAUCAUCCAUUGCAUGAAGAUCCAACAGC